UGGGGAAUAUUGGACAAUGGGGGCAACCCUGAUCCAGCCAUGCCGCGUGAAUGAUGAAGGCCUUCGGGUUGUAAAGUUCUUUUGGUGGGGACGAUGAUGACGGUACCCACGGAAUAAGCUCCGGCUAACUUCGUGCCAGCAGCCGCGGUAAUACGAAGGGAGCUAGCGUUGUUCGGAAUUACUGGGCGUAAAGGGCGCGUAGGCGGUUCGACAAGUCAGAUGUGAAAGCCCUGGGCUUAACCCGGGAACUGCGUUUGAUACUGUCGUGCUUGAAUUCGGGAGAGGUGAGUGGAAUUCCCAGUGUAGAGGUGAAAUUCGUAGAUAUUGGGGAGAACACCGGUGGCGAAGGCGGCUCACUGGACCGACAUUGACGCUGAGGCGCGAAAGCGUGGGUAGCAAACAG
rnacentral:rRNA from 1 species